GGGAUCGUGGCGCAGUUGGCUAGCGCGUAGGUCUCAUAUGAAAAGCUUUGGCUACAUAACUCGUAUGACCUGAAAACGGGCAAUCCUAAGGUCGUGAGUUCGAGCCUCACCGAUCCCA
rfam:Magnaporthe poae ATCC 64411 unplaced genomic scaffold supercont1.3, whole genome shotgun sequence.